ACAUGCCUACAACAUAGUGUAAAUGCAUCGUAUCCCAUUAGAACUCUGUAGUUAAGUGUGCUCAGGCUAGAGUAGUACUAGGAUGGGUGACCGCCCGAGAAUUCCUAGUGUUUUACAUGCC
rnacentral:rRNA from 1 species